UCAGGGGGUCAGGCUGCACAUGUGACGAGGGCAAAUGAGUUAAUGUGUCAACUCAAUGACCUUUCGUCCGAGCCACUGACGUCUGACGAAAGGUCGCUGACCCAAACAUUAACUCGGUCUCUAUCGCUCCACGGACGGAUCUCAGCAACAGCCCGCUCGCAAGCGGCGUGGGACAAAGAUACCAAAAGGUCAUCCUCCAAUGCUCCAAGGAGAAAAGGCCAAGUUCACUCAACCAAUUCUCAUAAGGUCAUUUAUAAAAAAUCACGAAGAGGAGGGAUCCCAGAACAGAUCCCUGUGGAACACCACUGGUCACCGAUCUCCAUGCAGAAUAUGAACCAUCUACAACACCACCCUUUGCUUUCUGUGGGCAAGCCAAUUCUGGAUCCACAAAGCAAGAUAUCCUUGGAUCCCAUGCCUCCUUACUUUCUGAAGGAGCCUUGCAUGGAGAACUUUAUCAAAUGCCUCACUGAAAUCCAUAUACACUACAUCCACUGCUCUACCUUCAUCAAUGUAUUUUGUUACUUCCUCAAAGAAUUCAAUCAGGUUCGUAAGGCACAACCUGCCUUUGACAAAGACAUGCUGACUAUCCCUAAUCAGAUUAUGUCUUGCUAAAUGCUCAUAAGUUCUGCCUCCCAGGAUCUUCUCUAACUACUUGCCCACCACUGAAGUCAUACUCACUGAUCUAAAAUUUCCUGGGUUAUCUCUAAUGUGUGACCAUUUUAUUUUCACAGGGCUGCUAGUGGAGGGAAAAAUGAUAAAGUUGUUCAAGAGUCUCUUAGACACGUGAAUGUUAACUUGGGCACUUGAUUAGUAAUGUAACUAGUUUGGCAAAACAUCAUGGGACAAAGAUUCUGUUUCGGUGCUUUACAGUUCUGUGUUCUAAGGAGGCUGAUGCCUGAUUUAUACUUCUGCGUAGUAGCCGACGCCGCAGCCUUCGUAAGUGGCCUGCGCCGUUGUGAGCAUUUAUACCAGUGCGCUGGUGUGUCUGAAUAACUCUGCAAUUCACCGCCAAAAUGCUAGUUGGCGGUGGGGUUUCUAAUGGCAACUGAGCGCAUCAUGUUGGAGUUGGAGCUAUUAAAUGUUGAACAAGGGUUACUUUUAUUGAAGUUACUGCAAUGCAGAAAAGAGAGAAGACAUCGGAGGAGAUGGUAUGUAUGACCAUUGAACAGAUUGAGGCAGAAGGAGGGUGAAUUUUCUGUGCUUGUCCGGCCACUGAGAGACAUGGACGAGGAAAUGCAUUUCAAAUAUUUUAGGAUGUCGGCAGGUAGAUUUGAUGAUUUGGUUCAUCAUCUCCAAAAAUUUAUUUUGCAUCAGUGUACGCACAGUAUGCCUGUAGACAGGAGGCGAUGCGAUGCUACCAAGUGGACAAAUCACAGUUGUUGCAGUGUGUGUCGCCACGACGCACAGUUACAUUCUUGGAGUGGUGUGCAUCAGGCUACGGCAUUGGGUAGGGCAUAGGUUACACGGCUACGCCCUAUGUACUUACGGCAUUCAUUUGACACAGAAGUAUAAAUCAGCCUUAAAACACAAGUGGUCAGGAACAGGUCAAUUUAAUUCAAACACUCUGAGGUACAUGUGCAGUGCCCAUUUCCGCACUGACAUUGAAAGCAUGAACACUACCUCACUACUUUUUUCAUCCAUUUACAGUUAUUAUUAUGCAUUAAAUUGUAAUGUACUGUUGCCACAUUACAACAAAUUUCACUAUGUAUCAAAGGUUCAAAUUUGUUACCCAAGUAUGUAUCCAUGUACAACUUUGAGAUAUGUCUUCUCCAGAUAGCCACGAAACAAAGAACACAAAAGUCGUUUAGAGAGAAACAUCAAACCCACCCCCCCCCCCGCACAAAAAUGAACGGCACCUCGAUUGUCAACCCCCAAACCCCCUCCGCUGUACAAAGUGGAACAAGAACAUUGACUCCAAACUCCUGUCGCCUCACACAACAUAAUGGAAAAGGAAGGGGUGAAUAAACGUAGAAUAUAAAACCACGUCUGAACAAGUCUACAGUUCACAAGUGCCGUAGUCUAAUCCAUAAAUGCAGAACCACGAAACAUCCUCCGACUCACUGAAAGAGAGGAACUCCACAUGAGGCAAAGGCCUACCCUCCUGCCACUCAGCGAUAGGCCACUUACAGACAAGGUAGGCAGUCGGCACUGAGCUGAACUCUUGCUCGAUGCCUCAAACUUCCAGUCUCAGUAUGCCAGUGAUACGAAACCUGAUUCUGAAAACCCUACUUGCAGCAGCUUCACAGGCUUGUAGUUACAGACAACACAUAAAUUACACAAAAGGGAGACAAAAACAAACCAAGUCAGUUCAAAAAAAUGGCACAAUCAUAGACAAGUCCAACCUAGUGCAAGAGGCAGUUCAUGGUGUUCAUCACUGAGUUAGGAUUAGAGCUGUACAAGUCUGUUCAAGAACCAGACGGUAGUAGGAAAGGACAUUAGCUGUUCUUGAAUCUGGCGGUGCGAAUCUUCAGGCUUCCAGAACUUCUGUCUGAUGGUGGCAGUGUGAAGAAUGCAUGUCCAGGACCUUUGAUGAUGGAUGUCACCUUCUUGAGGCAACACUAUGUUAUGGGUGCAGUCGGGGUAGGAAGAGCUCUGCCCUUGAUGGCUGGGCUGUCUCUGUGCAAUCUCUUGCAAUCCUAUGCGAUGGAAUGGACAUACCAGGUCAUAACACUACCAGUCUGUUUAGAUUUGGAUAUAUACCUCAAGAAUGUUUGAAAAGAGAUAAAUAUUUAAUGAAUAUAUUGUUGGUGGCUGGUAAAAAGACUCUUACUAGGAAAUGGUUAUCACAGGAGAGCCCAACUUUAAAUACAUGGAUGGAAAUUACAAUGGACGUUUACAAAAUGGAGAAGAUAACAGCAUCUGUUAAUCAUAAGCUGGAACUAUUUGAUUCAUACUGGGAAAAAUGGUUUAACUACAUAAUGCCUCAUAGGCCUGAUGUUAUUCUCACAAAUAAUUGAAUAUGUUGUUAAAAAAAAUCACUCCUCACUUGUACAUAGUUCUUUCCUUUUGCUUGUUUUUUUUUCUUUCCACUCUUUUCUAUAAGCGUAUAUCUCAGAUAAAUACCUUGUGGAGAUUUGUGAUAUAUAUGAUUAUAUGAUAUAUAUAUACAAUGUCUGAAAUACAUCUUAUGGAAAUGUUUGUUUGAUGAUGAAUAAUAAAAAAAUAAAUUACAAUAAAAAAGAUUUGCAGCCAGUUUUGGAAAACUUGUGCAUCUCUAAUUCCCUUUAAACUCACCAGGUCCUCUGAAAAACUUACUGCACUACUGUGUAACAUAUAAUGAAAAAGUGGAAUAAAAGUGUGUUUGGGAAUAAUAUUGGUUGGUCUGGACAGUUUGCUGUAUAAGUCCUGAGGAUGUUAGCUUAUUGAAAUCUUAAUGCGAGGAUUGGAGCAUUUUAUAUUCUGC